GGACAGUAUUGUAGAUGUGUAGUCAAUGAAGAAACCCAAGGUGAAGAAAUUAAAAAGAGAAGAAAGUAAUGCAGGCUACAGGCACAGAAAAAAGAUACAUAAAGAUGGUUAACGGUGGAUUUUGGGUGUCAGCGCGUAUUCCACAAGGGAGAGAUCUGCAGUAUCUUGGUGGUGCAGGUGAGCAACCCUUAUGACGUUUAGUGAUAUCAGUGUGUGCUUGUAUAAUUUUCAAAGGCACCAGAUGCACAACUGGUAGCACAAGACUUUUUAGAACAGCAGACAUACUGUAACGGUAGUUACCCGGUCCGCGUGCCGGCAGGGAUUCAUCCGAUCGAGCCGCACGCAGCUCAAGCACUCCUGUCUCCAGGCACUCCAGCCUGUAUAGUAUUGGGAACACUGCUCACAUUGUGAGCACGUUCCUAAAGGGCAAAUGGGAGCCUAACCUUGCUGUUGGCUCCCAUUGACCCACGUCAUUCUGGCGCCCCCAUUAACGCAUAUUUUGGGGCACAGGCAUGACGUGGACCAAUCACAUUAACAAUAAACAUACUUAAAUUUACCUAGCCCUAGAUUCCGUGCCCUAUUGUGGUCUCUGUUCCCAGUACCCUUUAGUGCGUUGCUUGAGUUAUUGCAUUGUAUUCUGGUAUUGGCCUUGUCUUUGUUUCCUGACUCUGAGUUUCUCUUUGCCUGUCUUGUUUGCCCUUCUGAUUAUUACCGUGUACCUGACUCUGGCUAGUUCUGAUUUUCGCUGUCUCUCGGUUACCCUGACCUCAGCUCGUAUUUCGUCUACGCUUUAGUCUGUCUAAUGUUAAGUCUGGCCACUCUCAGGCCCGGUAAGACGGUUAUAUUUCCUUAGUCUGUUCCUUGCUAUCCUAAACUCUGCGUGUUAGGGUUAUACUCCAUGACACAUACAGACUGAAGCAAAGUGCAUACACCCAGGACCCCCAUCUCUGAGCUAUAAAUCAGAAAAUAUAUUUAUGUCUUCAUCACUGUCUAAGGAAUGAAGAAAAAAAAAUGUCUACUGGACAAAAUUAUGUUUGUGUAUUGUAC